UACGUAGGGUCCGAGCGUUAAUCGGAAUUACUGGGCGUAAAGUGUGCGCAGGCGGCCGAGCAAGUCGAGUGUGAAAGCCCCGAGCUUAACUUGGGAACUGCGCUCGAAACUACUUGGCUAGAGUGUGGCAGAGGGAGGUGGAAUUCCACGUGUAGCGGUGAAAUGCGUAGAGAUGUGGAGGAACACCAAUGGCGAAGGCAGCUCGCUGGGACGGUACUGACGCUGAGGCGCGAAAGCGUGGGGAGCAAACAGG
rnacentral:rRNA from 1 species